GGACGUCGCCGCCCUCCAGCGCGAGCACGUGCGCGCGCACCUGCGGGCCCGCCGGAAGUUGCUGGAGGUCGCGAGCCUGCUGGACGAGCUCCAGAGCGAGGUGGACGCCUCGGCCGAGGGCGUGCUGGGGCCCGGCCGCCGCGCGGGCGGCGAGGCGGAGGAGCGGGUGCUGAGGCUGUGCGAGAAGGCGGAGCGGAAGGCCGCCGAGGCCGCGCUGAUGGGGCGGAGGAUCGUGGAGCUGCACCGGCAGAUCGACAGCUGCGGCUGCGGCUGCGCCUGACGGACGCGGGGGCGGAGACUUGAGGUCAGACUUCUGCAAGAGAGAAGACCCUGCUUGGCUGCAGCUGCUGAAGCAAGAGCCCAGACCGGUCAAGGAUGCAGAUGCUGCUGCUUUGGAUCAGAUUGAGAAGCCCCGGGGGCUGUUGGGCAUGGAGAUGGAUGGCAUCCGCAUUUUGGUAUUCUGCAGUCUCUCGUAUCAGAGGAGGAGAGCUGUGGUUUUUUUCUUUUCUUUUCUUUUUUUCUGUUUGCUUGUUUUUUGGUUUUUUGGUUUUUGCUUUUUUGUUUUUUCAGAAAUGUAAUUUUCUGUGGCAUGUUAACUGGUGCACAUCAUGUAACCUGUCUGGUGAGGAUGCAGGGGCUGCAAAACCCCCAGGAACUCGCUCUGGAGGAGGAGCUGGCUCUGUGACUCUGGGCCACCAGAAGAUGAUGGUUUUGCACUCUCUUCUCUGAGCUUCCUUGGGGCUUGACGUUCCAGUUGUCUCCAGUUCAUGUCAAGUAAACCACUCAGCCAGUGGACAAUUUCAGUGCUGGCCCUCGAGGCAGAGCUUUGAAGACAGGUGUGUCCGGCCUCUUCCUAGGCUUUGGGAAUUUAAGGAGAGGCCCAGCUACCCUGGGACUUUCAC
rnacentral:lncRNA from 1 species